UCAAACUUGGUCAUUUAGAGGAAGUAAAAGUCGUAACAAGGUCUCCGUUGGUGAACCAGCGGAGGGAUCAUUACUGAAUGUUACUACAACUAAACCCUUGUGAACUUUGUUAUGUGGCUGCCUCGGCAGGUAACCCCAGGGCGGGGUUUUGAGCCUUUACAGGCACCUGCCAGUGGUAGACAAUUUUUCAAACUCUGAUUUUAUUGAGCUUCUGAGUGUCUCAAAAAAUAAAUCAAAACUUUCAACAACGGAUCUCUUGGUUCUGGCAUCGAUGAAGAACGCAGC
rnacentral:misc_RNA from 1 species